rnacentral:misc_RNA from 1 species
UCUCCGUUGGUGAACCAGCGGAGGGAUCAUUACCGAGUUUACAACUCCCAAACCCAAUGUGAACGUUACCAAACUGUUGCCUCGGCGGGGCCACGCCCCGGGUGCGUCGCAGCCCCGGAACCAGGCGCCCGCCGGAGGAACCAACCAAACUCUUUCUGUAGUCCCCUCGCGGACGUUAUUUCUUACAGCUCAGAGCAAAAAUUCAAAAUGAAUCAAAACUUUCAACAACGGAUCUCUUGGUUCUG